UAAGCUUCUUGGCCUUUUGACUAAAAUCAAAUGUAGUAUAUUUUGUUAUCAAUUUAAUAUCUGAUAUGUCCUCUAUUUGAAAGAGGCAGCUAGGUAGCACAAUGGGUAGAGCACAAGGUUUGAAAUCACGAAAAUUCAUUUUCCUGAGCUCUAAAUUUAAUUUCAGACAUUUAUUAGCUGUGUCCUUCUAGGCAAAUCACUUCCCCCUGUUUGCUCCCAAUUUUC
ensembl:snRNA U2 U2 spliceosomal RNA